rnacentral:rRNA from 1 species
GCUUCUUUCCUCCCGAGUGCUUGCACUCAAUUGGAAAGAGGAGUGGCGGACGGGUGAGUAACACGUGGGUAACCUACCCAUCAGAGGGGGAUAACACUUGGAAACAGGUGCUAAUACCGCAUAACAGUUUAUGCCGCAUGGCAUAAGAGUGAAAGGCGCUUUCGGGUGUCGCUGAUGGAUGGACCCGCGGUGCAUUAGCUAGUUGGUGAGGUAACGGCUCACCAAGGCCACGAUGCAUAGCCGACCUGAGAGGGUGAUCGGCCACACUGGGACUGAGACACGGCCCAGACUCCUACGGGAGGCAGCAGUAGGGAAUCUUCGGCAAUGGACGAAAGUCUGACCGAGCAACGCCGCGUGAGUGAAGAAGGUUUUCGGAUCGUAAAACUCUGUUGUUAGAGAAGAACAAGGACGUUAGUAACUGAACGUCCCCUGACGGUAUCUAACCAGAAAGCCACGGCUAACUACGUGCCAGCAGCCGCGGUAAUACGUAGGUGGCAAGCGUUGUCCGGAUUUAUUGGGCGUAAAGCGAGCGCAGGCGGUUUCUUAAGUCUGAUGUGAAAGCCCCCGGCUCAACCGGGGAGGGUCAUUGGAAACUGGGAGACUUGAGUGCAGAAGAGGAGAGUGGAAUUCCAUGUGUAGCGGUGAAAUGCGUAGAUAUAUGGAGGAACACCAGUGGCGAAGGCGGCUCUCUGGUCUGUAACUGACGCUGAGGC